GCAAAGAGGGCCAGGGGAUGCCUUGCUGCCUGUCUGAGGGAUGUCAAGAAUGCUGGGGACCUCAAACAAGGGUCAGGACUGGGGAGGUGACACCCAGUUUCUGAACUUUAGCUCCAGCCUGACUUUUAUGCAUACAACAAGGAGUCAUCGGGGAUGUCGGUGUGCCCAGGCAGCUCAGGAAAGGCCCUGCCAUGGGGUCUCCAUACCCCGUAAGGGAGACAGACAACAUGCAAGGAUUGCGUGGUGGGCGGCAGUGAGGGCCCCAGAGAAGGAAGCAGCGCGGCAGGAGGGCUGCUGUUUCAACAGGAUGGUCCUGGGAACGUGGAGUGAGCACCCUCCACUGGUCUCUCUGCUUGAUCACAACUGUAAACCCUGGACAGACUCUCAGAGAACUGUGAAAACCUGGACAUGAAGGCAGCUUGAAACCUGGAAGUGCAACCAGAGUGGACAAAGGGCUCCAGAGGAUCCUUCUGGUCCAAGGAGCAGAAAUGAAGCCCUUACAGCUGAGGCCUGGAUGCAGCUGCAGGAGCUGUGCAGCAGGAUGCGGAAACGAAGGCCCUGGGUUUGUGGCCAGAGGUCUUGGAAAGCAGGCCCCAGGGAUCCAGUAAAGUUACAGAUGAAUUCCUGGGUUCCCUGCCAAGCUGCCCAAGUGGGGUCUGACCCUAGAUGCACACCACAGGCCUCAGGCUGACCACUGGGUGGUGCAGACAGACCCAGGACAGAUCUGACUGGUAGUCAAACACGUUAUACAUUGAGCUGGAAUCACAGCCCACAGAAGACAGGUGACCUGAUUGCCUGG
rnacentral:lncRNA from 1 species